rnacentral:lncRNA from 1 species
GGGGGGAACGCGGGGGACGGGGAGGCGCGGCGGGCAGGCGGCACCUGUGGGCCCCGCCGGCCCUUCCCCGGCGUGCCGGCGGGGAGCCUGCGGGACGGCCCUGGCCGGGUCACCGACUUGGGCAUGUCGGCCGGCCGCCGGGCAGCUGCUCUGCUCGCCGCAGGACCUCGUAGCGGGCGGGGAGGGCACUGCCGGCCCGGCGACCGGAGUCAGCGGCGUGGCGGCGGGUCCCCUGCCCCAGGUGUUCCGGGAACAGCGACGACAGCUCGUCCCGCCGCGGGAGAGAUGGCCCUGUCCCGUGAUAAAGCCGCCGUGGCUUGUCAGCAGUUCAUGUAACAUGUUAGCGAGCCCCGAGACUUCCCGUCCGGGAAUUUAGGGGGUCGGGGGGAGAGUGAGGCGAGGACAGGACAACACAGGUGAAUGCCAGGGACUGGGAGCGCGGACGGGGCAGGCAGCCGAGGCCGGGCUCAGCACUGGGACUUGCUGAGCGCGAUGCAGAAGCAGGGUUCUGGAUAACAGGGUGGCCCGCUUGCAUCUGUGCUCUAGAACAAAAAUGUGGGCAGUGGAUUGCGGUGCCACGGGCCCUGGAAACACGUAUGGUUGGUGGGGGGGAAGCUCCUCGGGGCGCGCAGGCCAAAGAAGGGAGAGACGUCUGCACCUGCCCUGCGAGACGUUCAAAGGGCGCGCUCUGCGGCCCUAAGGCCUGGUUGCGGUUCUGGCUGCCAUUGUAUAAUCUAUAAUGCAGACACAUCCUGAUCUACCUUCUAAGAAGCCAAAAACAACUCAUCCCUGCUGCUGUCAGCAGGUGGGGGAGUUUAGGAAACUUUCCAGGAUCUCACAGCCAGUAAGCUGGUGUCCCUCACCCCAGAGUGACAGUGGCGGGUCCAGUCUGUCAACAGAAGGAGGACCAAGCUUCACAAAGUCUCUUUCAGCAAAGCUUCUACAUGGUGCCCGUUUAUUCAUGUAAAAAUAUAAAAACUGCUAACAUUGAAAAGAGUGGCACAAGGAUUUUAUUAAUUACUCCCAGCUUUUUCAUACAGUUUUGUUUGAAUGGAAUACUUUGCCUUUUUCGAAUUAAAAAC